GGGGACAACCCGCCGAAAGGCGGGCUAAACCCGCGUACAUGCCACCGGGGCAUCCCGGAGGCAGGAAAGGCUUCGGCCGGACAGGGAUGGGCAUGCGGCGCAUUAGGCAGUAGGCGGGGUAACGGCCCACCUAACCGACGAUGCGUAGGGGUUCUGAGAGGAAGGUCCCCCACACUGGUACUGAGACACGGACCAGACUCCUACGGGAGGCAGCAGUGAGGAAUAUUGGUCAAUGGUCGGGAGACUGAACCAGCCAAGCCGCGUGAGGGAGGAAGGUACAGAGUAUCGUAAACCUCUUUUGUCAGGGAACAAAGACUGGGACGCGUCCCCGGAUGAGUGUACCUGAAGAAAAAGCAUCGGCUAACUCCGUGCCAGCAGCCGCGGUAAUACGGAGGAUGCGAGCGUUAUCCGGAUUUAUUGGGUUUAAAGGGUGCGCGGGCGGUCUGUUAAGUCAGCGGUCAAAGCCCGGGGCUCAACCCCGGCCCGCCGUUGAAACUGGCAGUCUCGAGUUGGAGAGAAGUAUGCGGAAUGCGCGGUGUAGCGGUGAAAUGCAUAGAUAUCGCGCAGAACUCCGAUUGCGAAGGCAGCAUGCCGGCUCCACACUGACGCUGAGGCACGAAAGCGUGGGUAUCGAACAGGAUUAGAUACCCUGGUAGUCCACGCAGUAAACGAUGAA
rnacentral:rRNA from 1 species